rnacentral:rRNA from 1 species
CGAGGGGCAGCGGGGAGUGAGGCUUGCCUUACUCUGCCGGCGACCGGCGCACGGGUGAGUAACACGUAUGCAACCUACCCUUUACAGCGGGAUAACCGGAAGAAAUUUCGCCUAAUACCGCAUAUACUCCUUGGGAGGCAUCUUCCGAGGGGGAAAGAAUUUCGGUGAAGGAUGGGCAUGCGUCGCAUUAGUUAGUUGGCGGUGUAACGGACCACCAAGACGACGAUGCGUAGGGGUUCUGAGAGGAAGGUCCCCCACACUGGUACUGAGACACGGACCAGACUCCUACGGGAGGCAGCAGUGAGGAAUAUUGGUCAAUGGCCGAGAGGCUGAACCAGCCAAGUCGCGUGAGGGAAGAAUGUCCUAUGGAUUGUAAACCUCUUUUGUCAGGGAGCAAAGUCACCCACGUGUGGGUGUUGGAGAGUACCUGAAGAAAAAGCAUCGGCUAACUCCGUGCCAGCAGCCGCGGUAAUACGGAGGAUGCGAGCGUUAUCCGGAUUUAUUGGGUUUAAAGGGUGCGUAGGCGGGUUAUCAAGUCAGCGGUAAAAUCGUGGAGCUCAACUCCAUCCAGCCGUUGAAACUGAUGAUCUUGAGUGGGCGAGAAGUAUGCGGAAUGCGUGGUGUAGCGGUGAAAUGCAUAGAUAUCACGCAGAACUCCGAUUGCGAAGGCAGCAUACCGGCGCCCGACUGACGCUGAAGCACGAAAGCGUGGGUAUCGAACAGGAUUAGAUACCCUGGUAGUCCACGCAGUAAACGAUGAAUACUAAUUGUGUGCUCCGAAUGAGGAGUGCGUGAUACAGCGAAAGCGUUAAGUAUUCCACCUGGGGAGUACGCCGGCAACGGUGAAACUCAAAGGAAUUGACGGGGGCCCGCACAAGCGGAGGAACAUGUGGUUUAAUUCGAUGAUACGCGAGGAACCUUACCCGGGCUCAAACGCAGGAGGGAUGUUUUUGAAAGGAGGCAGCUCUACGGAGUCUCCUGCGAGGUGCUGCAUGGUUGUCGUCAGCUCGUGCCGUGAGGUGUCGGCUUAAGUGCCAUAACGAGCGCAACCCCUACCGCCAGUUGCCAACGGGUAAAGCCGGGAACUCUGGCGGGACUGCCGGCGCAAGCUGUGAGGAAGGCGGGGAUGACGUCAAAUCAGCACGGCCCUUACGUCCGGGGCGACACACGUGUUACAAUGGCAGGUACAGCGGGAAGCCACUUGGCGACAAGGCGCGGAACCCGAAAACCUGUCUCAGUUCGGAUUGGAGUCUGCAACCCGACUCCAUGAAGCUGGAUUCGCUAGUAAU